UUCCGGUUGAUCCUGCCGGAGGCCAUUGCUAUUGGGAUUCGAUUUAGCCAUGCUAGUCGCACGAGUUCAGACUCGUGGCGAAUAGCUCAGUAACACGUGGCCAAACUACCCUUCGGAACACAAUACCCUCGGGAAACUGAGGCUAAUAGUGUAUACCACAGUCCACCUGGAAUGAGGACUGUGCCAAACGCUCCGGCGCCGAAGGAUGUGGCUGCGGCCGAUUAGGUAGACGGUGGGGUAACGGCCCACCGUGCCAAUAAUCGGUACGGGUCAUGAGAGUGAGAACCCGGAGACGGAAUCUGAGACAAGAUUCCGGGCCCUACGGGGCGCAGCAGGCGCGAAACCUUUACACUGCACGCCAGUGCGAUAAGGGAAUCCCAAGUGCGCAGGCAUAGAGCCUGCGCUUUUGUACACCGUAGGGAGGUGUACGAAUAAGGGCUGGGCAAGACCGGUGCCAGCCGCCGCGGUAAUACCGGCAGCCCGAGUGAUGGCCGAUCUUAUUGGGCCUAAAGCGUCCGUAGCUGGCCGCACAAGUCCAUCGGAAAAUCCACCCGCCCAACGGGUGGGCGUCCGGUGGAAACUGUGUGGCUUGGGACCGGAAGGCGCGACGGGUACGUCCGGGGUAGGAGUGAAAUCCCGUAAUCCUGGACGGACCGCCGAUGGCGAAAGCACGUCGCGAGGACGGAUCCGACAGUGAGGGACGAAAGCCAGGGUCUCGAACCGGAUUAGAUACCCGGGUAGUCCUGGCCGUAAACAAUGUCUGUUAGGUGUGGCUCCCACUACGAGUGGGUGCUGUGCCGUAGGGAAGCCGCUAAACAGACCGCCUGGGAAGUACGUCCGCAAGGAUGAAACUUAAAGGAAUUGGCGGGGGAGCACUACAACCGGAGGAGCCUGCGGUUUAAUUGGAUUCAACGCCGGG
rnacentral:rRNA from 1 species